UAGAGCAUGCCCACAUAGCCUGAAAAACCCACAAAAAACUAUGGAUGCCGGCCACGAAAGCCUCCGACUUCACUUUGUUGGGGUGGUUUGUCCACAGGCAGGGCUGAAUUGAUGGCAGCCUCUGCUCAGUGGCGACUUAGGGUGCAUCCAGAGGGUUUGAAAAGUCUCAGAUGUUGUUCCUGUUUCUUUCUGAUUCUACAGGGGGUUCAGACCAACCAACCUGGGGAGCUGGUUUGCAAGGUCUCUGGCCACACUGGGAGCUGGCAGAAAAUAUUCUGGGAUCAACAAGAUGUGUACAGAUCUCCAAAAUAAAAUCGGAAAGGAAGGACAGGAACAAAAUCCAGGGGCUUUCUGGCCUUUGAAAUCAGGCUGGAUGUGCCCUUAGUGACCUCUCUGGGUGGCUUUGCUGUUGUGGGAGGUCUGGUGGCUGGUGUCCCAUUGUUAAAAAAAUUGGGAGGAGGGGACUGGCAGAGGGGAAAGCCUUCUCCCCUGGUUUCUUCUUCCUGUGCUCCUUGGCUUGUGGAAAGCCUCUUGGUUGGACCUUUGAUGGACUCUGCCCUGUCUGACCUUCAGGGCCAUCCUGACUCAACAGCCCAUGCAACCUGCAGUUGGCUGGUUUUCAGUGUCACUGGAAGGUCAAGAAGACACUUCUUUUGGCAGAUAACUACAGUUGUGUUGUGCUAGACUUUUCUUAUUUUUUGAUGAAAUCCUGGCUUAGAGGGAGGAUUUGCUGGGAAUGAAGGGUCAGUUUGCAUUUCUCCUGUUGCUUUUUCAUUCCUUGAUGACACAUAACUGUAAAUGCUUGAAGUGACUCCACUGAAAAGAUUUAUCAUUCAUCUGUGAUGCCUUACACAGAACCCAGCAGUCAUCAAAUGAUGGCCUGGUUGCAUGUAUGUACAGCUGCAGAUAGAUUUAAUUGGUGAUGGAUGCAGAUAGUGCACGUGAAUUCCCAGAUACUUUAUUGGCAUUUAUAAAAUAUUCAAAUGUUGCUAAAAGAAUAGGGAUAUUUUUUUUCUUUACAGUCCUCAGUGUCCCAUGUGAAUAUCAACACAAUCUUUUCAUUUAAAGCUGCUGUCUCCACAUAAAAGUCUCUAACAGUUCAAGGAGAAAAGCUCAGGGAACAAAAUAAAAGUGGAAUUUUUAA